AUUGAACGCUGGCGGCAUGCUUUACACAUGCAAGUCGAACGGGCUGGGGGCAACUCCAGUCAGUGGCGAACGGGUGAGUAAUGCAUCGGAACGUGUCCCGUAGUGGGGGAUAACCCGGCGAAAGCCGGACUAAUACCGCAUAUGCUCUACGGAGGAAAGUGGGGGACCGCAAGGCCUCACGCUAUGGGAGCGGCCGAUGUCCGAUUAGCUUGUUGGUGGGGUAAUGGCCUACCAAGGCGACGAUCGGUAGCUGGUCUGAGAGGAUGAUCAGCCACACUGGGACUGAGACACGGCCCAGACUCCUACGGGAGGCAGCAGUGGGGAAUUUUGGACAAUGGGGGCAACCCUGAUCCAGCCAUGCCGCGUGCGGGAAGAAGGCCUGGU
rnacentral:rRNA from 1 species